UACGAAGGGGGCUAGCGUUGUUCGGAAUUACUGGGCGUAAAGCGCACGUAGGCGGGUUGUUAAGUCAGGGGUGAAAUCCUGGAGCUCAACUCCAGAACUGCCUUUGAUACUGGCAACCUAGAGACUGGAAGAGGUUAGUGGAAUUCCCAGUGUAGAGGUGAAAUGCGUAGAUAUCGGGAGGAACACCAGUGGCGAAGGCGGCCUUCUGGACGGAUACUGACGCUGAGACGCGAAAGCGUGGGGAGCAAACAGG
rnacentral:rRNA from 1 species